UACGGAGGGUGCAAACGUUGCUCGGAAUCAUUGGGCGUAAAGCGCACGUAGGCGGUCUUGUAAGUCGGAUGUGAAAGCCUGGGGCUCAACCCCAGAAGUGCACUCGAAACUGCAAGGCUUGAGUACGGAAGAGGGUCUCGGAAUUCCCGGUGUAGAGGUGAAAUUCGUAGAUAUCGGGAGGAACACCAGUGGCGAAGGCGGCGACCUGGACGGACAUUGACGCUGAGACGCGAAAGCGUGGGGAGCAAACAGG
rnacentral:rRNA from 1 species